CCCGCGCCAGGGGGGAGGCGGGGCGGACCUCGUCUCCAUAGCGACGGCGGACGCGGCGGUGCGGGCGGCGGGGACCUACCGACUGGAGACGCGCUGGUGGCGGCGAGGACCGAGACCCGGGCGAGGGCAUGUCGGACUUGGGCUCGGAGGAGUUGGAGGAGGAGGGAGAGAAUGACCUUGGGGAGUACGAGGGGGAGCGGAAUGAGGCAGGUGAACGGCAUGGACACGGGAAAGCAAGACUGCCCAACGGGGACACGUAUGAAGGCAACUACGAACACGGGAAAAGACAUGGCCAGGGUGUCUACAAGUUUAAAAAUGGUGCUCGGUACAUGGGAGAAUACGUUCAAAAUAAAAAGCAUGGUCACGGCACUUUCAUAUACCCAGAUGGCUCAAGAUAUGAAGGGCCCACUUUUGUGUCGUCCCUUCCAGGGGAGUGGGCGGAUGACCAAAGGCACGGUUACGGCGUCUACUACUACGUCAAUAAUGACACCUACACGGGGGAGUGGUUUGCUCACCAAAGGCACGGGCAAGGCACCUAUUUCUACGCAGAGACAGGCAGUAAGUACAUAGGUACCUGGGUGAACGGACAGCAAGAGGGUGCGGCCGAACUCAUUCACCUGAACCACAGGUACCAGGGCAAGUUCUUCAACAAAAACCCUGUCGGCCCUGGGAAGUACGUGUUUGAUAUCGGAUGUGAGCAGCACGGGGAGUACCGUUUGACAGACGUGGAAAGAGGAGACGAGGAGGAGGAGGAGGAGGCGACAAUGAUGACCGUGGUUCCGAGGUGGAAAGCCGCCAAAAUCACAGAGCUGGCUCUGUGGACCCCGACCCUUCCUGAGGAGCAGCCCCCUGGGGGCGGGCCUGCUGCAGAAGAGGCUCUGGAAACCGAAGGCGGCGGGGAGCCCUCGGAGGAGGGCCAGGCUCUGGCCGAUGGUUCCGAGGGGGAGACCGACUCCAUGAGGCCUGGGGAGGACGAUGGAGAAGGCAGCCGGGAGGAGGGCCGGGAGGACUUCCGCUACGACACCAUCGACCAGGAAUGACAGCCGUGUGCCUGCCGUGUGCCUGCUGUGUGCCUGCCGCGUGCCCGCUCACGUGACCGCCGAGUGUCUGCAGAAUGACAGCCGUGUGCCUGCCGUGUGCCUGCAGAGGGAACCGUGUGACCACCGCUGACUGCUUUGCACAGAACGAGCACGGAGCAAGUACGGCCGCGAAUUGUUAGUUUUGAAGAAGAAGAAAAUAAACAGUCGGAGGCACCGGAGUGAGCGGAAGCAAGCGGGAAGGCUAGGGGAUCGUGUCACAGAAACGCUCUGUUAUAGGGCCCUCUGAUGCUCCUCUGUUACUCAUCUUUUCUAUCAGUUGUUAAGUAGUGCACGGUACGAAUAAAUGUCUCCCUCCUCCUUUGUUUAAGGAUGAGCCUCUGCGAGGUCUUUAAGCUGGGCCUCUCUGGGUGACCGGGCUGCGGUGGUGCAGCCCUGUUUUCUCCUGGGAUAAAGGACAGGGUCACAUACCCCUGACUCCGCAGGAGGCGGUUCACGGAGGUGGCCUUCUGGCUGAGCACGUACAGUGACUACUUGCCAAAGCUGCUCUCCAACCUCCCUCGGGAGAGCCACGGAGACACCUAGAAAGCAAUCCCGUGCCCGAAACACCGCGGUGAAUAGACUUAGGGUGGGGUGCCGGGGGCGCCGGUCGGGCAUCUGACUCUUGAUUUCAGCUCCAGUCACGACCUUGGGGUUGUGGGGUUCAGCCCUAAGUUGGGCUCUAUGCUCAGUGUAGGGUCUGUUUAUCCCUCUGCUCCUCCCUCCCCCCUGCCCCCUGCCCGGGCACAAGGGUUCUCUCUCUCAAAUAAAUAAAUAA